AGAAGCGUCCAAGCCUCUCUGGGCCAUGAAGCCAUGCACAGAGCAGAGACCCGUGCAUCCUCAUGGCCACCCAAGACUGUGGGUC
rnacentral:sRNA from 1 species